AUGACAGGAGCAUAUGUGAUCUUAUAUGGAAAGGAAGAAGUGCCCGGCAAGGUCAGGAUCUUUGCCUGGAAGGUGGCUACCAAUACCCUAGCUACCAAGAAAAACAAGUGGAAGAGAACUUUGGAAGUGGAUGCUACAUGCAGUAUAUGUGGUAAUGGUGAGGAGGACGAACACCAUGCAGUAAUAACCUGCACCAAAAGUUGGGCCCUGCGUGCAGAAAUGAGGAAAUUUUGGGUAUUACCGGCUGAGAGCAAACUGAGAUAUACGGGAGCUGAUUGGCUGCAAGUUGCUCUUGACGCGGAAAAUGAGGAGGUCCGCGCCAAUCUACUGCUGCUCCUAUGGCGCUGCUGGCAUCAUAGGGAGGAUUGCAUGCGCAAUAAUGGCCCGCGUAUGGCUACUGGUGAUAAUGACGGGCAGAUGGGACAUUCGAAGGCGGGAGUGGGGGCAGCAUCGCACGGCUAG
rnacentral:rRNA from 1 species